rnacentral:pre_miRNA from 1 species
AGAAAAAUGCCCAGCCAGCCCUCAGUUGCUACAGCCCUCUAUUGUUUCAGCUCAACAACAACACGGGGCUGUAGCAGUGGGGGCUGGAUGGGCAUCUCAAU